AUGAACGCUAGCGACAGGCCUAACACAUGCAAGUCGAGGGGCAGCACAAGGAGCAAUCUGAGGUGGCGACCGGCGCACGGGUGAGUAACACGUAUGCAACCUGCCUGUAAGCGGGGAAUAACCCGUUGAAAGACGGACCAAUACCGCAUAAUACUAAAUUACUGCAUGGUAAUUUAUUUAAACAUUUAUGGCUUACAGAUGGGCAUGCGCAUGAUUAGCUAGUUGGAGAGGUAACGGCUCCCCAAGGCAACGAUCAUUAGGGGUUCUGAGAGGAAGGUCCCCCACACUGGUACUGAGACACGGACCAGACUCCUACGGGAGGCAGCAGUGAGGAAUAUUGGUCAAUGGACGAGAGUCUGAACCAGCCAAGUCGCGUGCAGGAAGAAUGUCCCUAUGGAUUGUAAACUGCUUUUGCAGGGGAAUAAAGUGCAUCACGUGUGAUGUUUUGUAUGUACUCUGCGAAUAAGGAUCGGCUAACUCCGUGCCAGCCGCGGC
rnacentral:rRNA from 1 species